GAUGAACGCUGGCGGCGUGCUUAACACAUGCAAGUCGAACGAGAAGUGGAGACGGAAACCUUCGGGCGGAAGACUUUAUUUCGAGUGGCGGACGGGUGAGUAACGCGUGGGUAACCUGCCUCAUACAGGGGGAUAACAGUUGGAAACGACUGUUAAUACCGCAUAAGACCACAGCACCGCAUGGUGCGGGGGUAAAAACUCCGGUGGUAUGAGAUGGACCCGCGUUCGAUUAGCCAGUUGGCGGGGUAACGGCCCACCAAAGCGACGAUCGAUAGCCGAUCUGAGAGGAUGACCGGCCACAUUGGGACUGAGACACGGCCCAAACUCCUACGGGAGGCAGCAGUGGGGAAUAUUGCACAAUGGGGGAAACCCUGAUGCAGCGACGCCGCGUGAGUGAAGAAGUAUUUCGGUAUGUAAAGCUCUAUAAGCAGGGAAGAAAAUGACGGUACCUGAGUAAGAAGCCCCGGCUAACUACGUG
rnacentral:rRNA from 1 species